UACAGAGGUGGCAAGCGUUGUUCGGAAUUACUGGGCGUAAAGGGCGCGUAGGCGGUCCGAUAAGUCCCGUGUGAAAUCCCUCGGCUCAACUGAGGAACUGCACGGGAAACUGACGGGCUUGAGUUCGGGAGAGGGAAGCGGAAUUCCGGGUGUAGCGGUGAAACGCGUAGAUAUCCGGAGGAACACCGGUGGCGAAGGCGGCUUCCUGGACCGACACUGACGCUGAGGCGCGAAAGCUAGGGGAGCAAACGGG
rnacentral:rRNA from 1 species